AUUCCAAACUAGCCUGAAAGUCGCAGCCAGAGCUCAAAACAAAUAAGUUUAGGAGAACAACAUAGAACAAAGUGUUCCUGCCUGUCAACAUGACUGCUUUCGGCUGGCUGAUCGUUCUUUCUCUCCUAUUCCUCUGUUUCUGGAAGACCCAACGUCCCAAAGGUUUCCCCCCUGGGCCAUGGAGGCUGCCCCUGCUUGGGAACCUGCUUCAAUUCAUUAACAGGUUCCCUUGGAAGGAGUUCGACCAGGUA